UACAGAGGGGGCAAGCGUUGUUCGGAAUUACUGGGCGUAAAGGGCGCGUAGGCGGCCCGCUAAGUCGAACGUGAAAUCCCCGAGCUCAACUCGGGAACUGCGUCCGAUACUGGUGGGCUUGAAUCCGGGAGAGGGAUGCGGAAUUCCAGGUGUAGCGGUGAAAUGCGUAGAUAUCUGGAGGAACACCGGUGGCGAAGGCGGCAUCCUGGACCGGCAUUGGCGCUGAGGCGCGAAAGCUAGGGGAGCGAACAGG
rnacentral:rRNA from 1 species